UUGUUCUUAGAAGGGGCUAUAACUUCUCUUUGCUAUUGCCCCCACUGUCAUCGUCAACAGGAAGCUCAUGAGGAAGUUUGCUUUCUUUCUUUCUUUUCUCAGAGCUCUCAGAUAACUGACUAGCCUACCAUUUAAGAUAUUGACAUUUAAAUGUUUGUGUUGCUCUUGUCUGGACUUCAGAUCAUACAUAACUCUUGGUGAAUAGCUUUCAUCACUUACCAGACAAUUGACACACCCAACAUGAUUUCACAGAAGAGGAAGGAGACAAAAUAGUGACGUUCUUUCUUUCUUUCUUUCUGUAGUCCUCAGAUUGCACUUGUGGUGAGUGUUGUAAUGCUUUUCUGUGUGGUGAAAGACUAAUAUCUUCCUAUUUUAUUUCUCUGAAUACCGGUCAGACUGCAAACUUCCUCGACAAAGGGCCAGACAGAGCAUUGCCAAGGGCGUAGCAGCAAGAUACAAGGAGCCAUUUUCUGACAGGCCUCGAAGUCGAACAUGGCUGUGGAUAUGACUGCACUGUAACAGAGGAGGUGUUGCAGUCAAUUGUCUUUCAAAGGAUUUUGUAUUUCAUUUAUAUUCAGAAGAAGAGAAGGGAACAAUGAGUUUUGACCGAGUGCCAUCCAAGUCAGUGGUAAUGGACUGGAAUCCACACCAAUUGGCAGACUACAUGAAGAAGUUGAAUUUAAGUGGCUGCGAUAAAGUCAUUAUGAAAUGUAGCAUAAAUGGACAAAGGUUCUUGAACAUGACUGAAAAUGACCAUCAGAAAUUCCCCAAAAUCCAUGCGCCACUCAUCUCCAAAAUCUGCAGUGAAAUCAACAGGAAAGAAGAAAAAAGGAGAUUCUUUACUAAAAGAACUGCAGCACCAAAAUAUGAACCAGCUAUGCCACAAGAGGAUCAGCCCUGGGGACCGGAUGAAUUUGAUGAGGGGAGUGACGAAGACUAUGAGAAUCCAGAUGCUGAGGAAGAUGAUGGCAGUGGGGGAGAUUAUGAAUCACCAACAGAGGAUGUUGGACUUGAGGAUAGUGACAACGGCUAUGAGUCACCUCCGUCUGAGGCGCCUGAAGAAAUUCCCCAUCAGCUCCGUGCUGCCAAGCCCAUGGCUGACGGAGAAUACAUUGAUAGUACACCGCACCGCAAUACAGCUAGAAGCCAUCCUCCUCCAACAACUCAACGCCCUGGGGCUGGUCCUCCAAUCCCCUCUGCCAGUCACCCUAGUCUACUGCAGCCUCCCCCACCCAGAAGAGAGCAAUCUCCCCAGCACCCUGGCAGAAUAACUGGCAAGUUGCCUGCUACUUCCUCAAAUGCUGCCCCCGCUCCACCAGUUGACCGCAGAAGAAAGCCCACCAAACUGGAUCGCACAAGACUUGCUGAAUCUCCAAUACCAGCAACGAAGUUAAACACAACUAACAUGCCUGCUCCACAUUCAUGGAGGUCUCAGGCAGAAGAGAGGGGUCCAGACCCUCCCAGAAUGCCCAAACCUCCCCUCCCUGUGUCAAGUAGUGUCAGCAGGAGCAGCUCGUCGGUCGGUAGAGCCCCGCUGAACAACACCAGAUAUGUGCCUGAUGCAAGAAAUGAGGUACAAGAUGAUGUGCCCAUGCCCAAACCAUACAACUCCAACACAUUUCCUAGACCAGGGCACCCUAGAGCAGUGCUCCCUGGACUAUCCUUACAUUCAGACGGCUUUCCUCCUAAUAUCGCUUCAACUGCAUCUCUACCUUCAAAACUGCAGGCACUGCAGGCAUCCAUCUCACCCAGGAGCAGUUCUAGGAUUGUGCCAGACAGACACAUUAUGCCCCCUCCGCCACCUAUGCAAGCUUCUAUCCCCCCACCGGCAGACCUAGAGAAUGAACAGGACCUGAACCCUCAGUGGUAUGUUGGUCAGGUGACACGGGGUCAAGCGGAGGGCUGUCUCAGACAGGUCAACAUGGACGGUGCAUUUCUGGUACGGGACAGUUCGAAACGGUCGUCCAUUCAGCCCUAUACACUCAUGGUACUCUAUCAGGACAAAGUUUACAACAUCCAGAUCCGCUGUGAACAGAAUGAGUUUCUGCUGGGGACUGGUCUGAAGGUCUCAGAGACCUAUCCGAUGGUGGCACACAUCAUCGCUCAUUACAGACAGUCACCUCUUCUGCUGAUUGAUGCUAAGAACCGUGGAUCAGGGCAGCAGAGCCAGUGUCCCCUGAUCUACCCAGCAGGUGGAGCACUAGCAAGUCUCUACCCGUCCUUUUAACAGACAGCAGAGCCAGUGUCCCCUGAUCUACCCAGCAGGUGGAGCACUAGCAAGUCUCUACCCGUCCAUUUAACCGACAGCAGAGCCAGUGUCCCCUGAUCUACCCAGCAGGUGGAGCACUAGCAAGUCUCUACCCGUCCUUUUAACAGACAGCAGAGCCCGUGUCCCCGGAUCUACCCAGCAGGUGGAGCACUAGCAAGUCUCUACCCAUCCUUUUAACAGACAGCAGAGCCCCUGUCCCCUGAUCUACCCAGCAGGUGGAGCAUUAGCAAGUCUCUACCCGUCCAUUUACCAGACAGCAGAGCCAGUGUCCCCUGAUCUACCCAGCAGGUGGAGCACUAGCAAGUCUCUACCCGUCCAUUUAACAGACAGCAGAGCCCGUGUCCCCUGAUCUACCCAGCAGGUGGAGCAUUAGCAAGUCUCUACCCAUCCUUUUAACAGACAGCAGAGCCCCUGUCCCCUGAUCUACCCAGCAGGUGGAGCACUAGCAAGUCUCUACCCAUCCUUUUAACAGACAGCAGAGCCAGUGUCCCCUGAUCUACCCAGCAGGUGGAGCACUAGCAAGUCUCUACCCGUCCAUUUAACAGACAGCAGAGCCAGUGUCCCCUGAUCUACCCAGCAGGUGGAGCACUAGCAAGUCUCUACCCAUCCUUUUAACAGACAGCAGAGCCAGUGUCCCCUGAUCUACCCAGCAGGUGGAGCACUAGCAAGUCUCUACCCAUCCAUUUACCAGACAGCAGAGCCAGUGUCCCCUGAUCUACCCAGCAGGUGGAGCAUUAGCAAGUCUCUACCCAUCCUUUUAACAGACAGCAGAGCCCCUGUCCCCUGAUCUACCCAGCAGGUGGAGCACUAGCAAGUCUCUACCCAUCCUUUUAACAGACAGCAGAGCCAGUGUCCCCUGAUCUACCCAGCAGGUGGAGCACUAGCAAGUCUCUACCCAUCCAUUUAACAGACAGCUGGGGGAGUGAUAACAAUAACAUGGAGCAAUAGUCAAGAUUCACAGUGGUUUUAAAGGACUGCCACUCACAUUAUGGGUGGAAGGACUUAUGCAACCUUUG